UAUUAAAAAUUCCAUUUAUCUGUAUUGUUAAAAAUCGGCGUAAUUGAUAGAAUAACCCGACAGUGACACGUGGGAUGUCACAUAUAGCUCGUCCUAACAUCAAGGACCAGUUUUUAACAGUAGAAAUGAAUGAAAUUUUUAACA
rfam:Gossypium hirsutum cultivar TM-1 chromosome 17, whole genome shotgun sequence